rnacentral:rRNA from 1 species
AUUGAACGCUGGCGGCAGGCCUAACACAUGCAAGUCGCACGAGUGGCGGACGGGUGAGUAAUGUCUGGGAAACUGCCUGAUGGAGGGGGAUAACUACUGGAAACGGUAGCUAAUAACGCAUACCAUCAGAUGUGCCCAGAUGGGAUUAGCGUGUUGGGGGGGUAACGGCUCACCAAGGCGACGAUCCCUAGCUGGGUGGAGAGGAUGACCAGACAAACUGGAACUUAGACACGGUCCAGACUCGUACGAGAGGCAGCAGGGGGGAAUAUGGCACAAUGGGCGCAAGCCUGAUGCAGCCAUGCCGCGUGUAUGAAGAAGGCCUUCGGGUUGUAAAGUACUUUCAGCGGGGAGGCGUUACCCGCAGAAGAAGCACCGGCUAACUCCGUGCCAGCAGCCGCGGUAAUUC